AAAGCUUCUCAGUCUUUUGGCUAAGAUCAAGUGUAGUAUCUUCCUAAUAGAGUACUCCUCUUAUGAAUAUAUAAUGACCUUCUUUUUCUCUUCUGGUUGACUUUCACUUGAAGUCAACUCGUAUAUAAGCAUAAUUAUU
ensembl:snRNA U2 U2 spliceosomal RNA